UACAGAGGUGGCAAGCGUUGUUCGGAAUUACUGGGCGUAAAGGGCGCGUAGGCGGCCAUCUAAGUCAGACGUGAAAUCCCCCGGCUUAACCUGGGAACUGCGUCUGAUACUGGACGGCUCGAGUUUGGGAGAGGGAUGCAGAAUUCCAGGUGUAGCGGUGAAAUGCGUAGAUAUCUGGAGGAACACCGGUGGCGAAGGCGGCAUCCUGGACCAACACUGACGCUGAGGAGCGAAAGCCAGGGGAGCAAACGGG
rnacentral:rRNA from 1 species